GACGAACGCUGGCGGCGUGCUUAACACAUGCAAGUCGAACGGAAAGGCCCUGCUUUUGUGGGGUGCCCGAGUGGCGAACGGGUGAGUAACACGUGAGUAACCUGCCCUUGACUUUGGGAUAACUUCAGGAAACUGGGGCUACUACCGGAUAGGAGCUCCUGCUGCAUGGUGGGGGUUGGAAAGUUUCGGCGGUUGGGGAUGGACUCGCGGCUUAUCAGCUUGUUGGUGGGGUAGUGGCUUACCAAGGCUUUGACGGGUAGCCGGCCUGAGAGGGUGACCGGCCACAAUGGGACUGAGAUACGGCCCAGACUCCUACGGGAGGCAGCAGUGGGGAAUAUUGCACAAUGGGCGGAAGCCUGAUGCAGCGACGCCGCGUGCGGGAUGACGGCCUUCGGGUUGUAAACCGCUUUCGCCUGUGACGAAGCGUGAGUGACGGUAAUGGGUAAAGAAGCACCGGCUAACUACGUG
rnacentral:rRNA from 1 species